GACGAACGCUGGCGGCAUGCCUAACACAUGCAAGUCGAGCGAGUAGAUCCCUUCGGGGUGAAGCUAGCGGCGGACGGGUGAGUAACACGUGGGCAACCUGCCUCAUAGAGGGGAAUAGCCUUCCGAAAGGAAGAUUAAUACCGCAUAAGAUUGUAGUACCGCAUGGUAUAGCAAUUAAAGGAGCAAUCCGCUAUGAGAUGGGCCCGCGGAGCAUUAGCUAGUUGGUGAGGUAACGGCUCACCAAGGCGACGAUGCGUAGCCGACCUGAGAGGGUGAUCGGCCACAUUGGAACUGAGACACGGCCCAGACUCCUACGGGAGGCAGCGGUGGGGAAUAUUGCACAAUGGGGGAAACCCUGAUGCAGCAACGCCGCGUGAGUGAUGACGGCCAUCGGGUUGUAAAGCUCUGUCUUCGGGGACGAUAAUGACGGUACCCGAGGAGGAAGCCACGGCUAACUACGUGCCAGCAGCCGCGGUAA
rnacentral:rRNA from 1 species